UGCGCCGAAAAUUAACCGGGGCUAAGCGUAGUACCGAAUCUAUGGAUUUGUGCAGAAAUGUAUAAGUGGUAGGGGAGCGUUCCAAACAGCAUAGAAGGCAUACCGUAAGGAGUGCUGGAGCGUUUGGAAGUGAGAAUGCCGGUGUGAGUAGCGAGAUGCAGGUGAGAAUCCUGCACACCGAUAGACCAAGGUUUCCAGGGGAAGGUUCGUCCGCCCUGGGUAAGUCGGGACCUAAGACGAGGCAGAAAUGCGUAGCCGAUGGUCAACUGGUUUAUAUUCCAGUACCCGCGAUACAACUGAAGGAGUGACGGAAAAGGUUACCUCGAGCCCUUAAUGGAUUGGGCAGGACAGAGAGGAGCAGGCAGCAGGCAAAUCCGCUGCAGGAUGCAGAGCUCUGGACCGAAUGAACGAGCGAUCAAGUAGUGAAGAGAGAGAUACCAGUUCCCGAGAAAAGCUUCUAAGGCUAAUUGUAUAGCGGCCCGUACCAAAACCGACACAGGUGGUCAAGGCGAGUAGCCUGAGGUGAGCGAGAGAACUGUUGCCAAGGAACUCGGCAAACUGACCCCGUACGUUAGCAAUAAGGGGUGCUCGAAAGAGCCGCAGUGAAUAGGCCCUAGCAACUGUUUAACUAAAACAUAGCUCUCUGCCAAGCCGCAAGGCGAAGUAUAGGGGGUGACACCUGCCCGGUGCUGGAAGGUCAAGGGGAUUUGUCAGCGCAAGCGAAGCAUUGAACCGAAGCCCCAGUGAACGGCGGCCGUAACUAUAACGGUCCUAAGGUAGCGAAAUUCCUUGUCAGGUAAGUUCUGACCCGCACGAAAGGUGUAAUGAUUUGGGCACUGUCUCGGCAGCAGACUCGGUGAAAUCUUAGUACCUGUGAAGAUGCAGGUUACCCGCAACUAGACGGAAAGACCCCAUGGAGCUUUACUGCAGUCUGCUAUUGAGUUUCGGUUGGAUAUGCACAGGAUAGGUGGGAGACGAUGAGACGUGGAUUUCGGUCUACGAGGAGUCACUGUUGGGAUACCACUCUUAUUCAACUGGAAUUCUAACUGAUAUCCGUGAUCCGGAUACAGGACCGUGGCAGAUGGGCAGUUUGACUGGGGCGGUCGCCUCCCAAAGAGUAACGGAGGCGCACAAAGGUACUCUCAGAAUGGUUGGAAAUCAUUCAGCGAGCGCAAACGCAGAAGAG
rnacentral:rRNA from 1 species